rnacentral:misc_RNA from 1 species
CGCACAUUGCGCCCAUUAGUAUUCUAGUGGGCAUGCCUGUUCGAGCGUCAUUUCAACCCCUAAGCACAGCUUAUUGUUGGGAAUCCACGCCUGUGGUUCCUCAAAGACAUUGGCGGAGUGGCAGUAGUCCUCUGAGCGUAGUAAUUCUUUAUCUCGCUUUUGUUAGGUGCUGCCCCCCCGGCCGUAAAACCCCCAAUUUUUUCUGGUUGACCUCGGAUCAGGUAGGAAUACCCGCUGAACUUAA